GACGAACCGUACGAACGUUAUUCGGAAUCACUGGGCUUAAAGGGUGCGUAGGCGGCCCGGGAAGUUGGGUGUGAAAGCCCUCGGCUCAACCGAGGAAUUGCGCCCAAAACUGCCGGGCUUGAGGGAGACAGAGGUGAGCGGAACUAAGGGUGGAGCGGUGAAAUGCGUUGAUAUCCUUAGGAACACCAGGAGCGAAAGCGGCUCACUGGGUCUCUUCUGACGCUGAGGCACGAAAGCUAGGGGAGCGAACGGG
rnacentral:rRNA from 1 species